CCAAUUAGAAUACCGCUUGAUUUUGAUAUAAAUGGGCUAUAUACUUAUUGCCCCAGACACAUUGUAAAUCAAUCUGAGAGAUUCAGAGACCAGUAUAAAACCAUUGGGUCUAAAGUUUGUACAAGUUUCUGUGAUUCAAUAUGGCACCCUGGUAUCUAGCUCUCCUCUUUUUUGGUGGGGCGAUAUAUUGGGGAUUUAACCUGCAGGCACUUUAUCACUGAGGUACAUCCCCAGCUCUUUUUACUUUAUUUUGAGACAGUGUCUCCCUAAAUUGCUGGCCUAGAACUUGUGAUCCUGAUCAUCCUGCCUCAUGCUGGGAUUAUAGGCAUGUGCCACCUUGCCUAUAUUUUGUAACUUUUUGAGUUGUUGAGUAGUCAGUGUGAAUGAACACACAUAUUUUAGUGUGCCUCAGAAUUAAACGUGUGAAUUCUGGACUUCUCUACUGCACUGGAGAUUCAAAGGUAUAAAAUAAGCUGGUGGAUUCUGUGGCUCAGCAGUUCAGACAGAGCAUGGAGGGAAUGGCUUAUCACUGCUCCACAGUGACUGGUGCUUCAGUUGGGAAGACCAAAAGGCUGAGGAUCACUUACAUAAAGGGGUCGGAGUUACCUGUAGGUUUCUUCACUGAUGUGUCAAAUGCCUAGGGUCAUAUUGGGCCUCUCUCUCCCUGUGUGUCAUACCUUAUUGCUCAAGUUUUCUCCAAGAUGGCCAUCUCAGGGUGGCCGAUGACAUCUUCCAUUAUUGCUCAGAGCCCCAAGAGUAACUAUGAAAGUUGUAUGGAUUUUUAAACACUUAUUUAUAAAAAUCAUAAGACUACUUUUUUGUCUGAUUUUCUAACAAAGUUAUUGAGGUAUAAUGGUUAUACAAAAAAAAACUACACAUAUUUAAUGUGUGUAAUCUGAUGAGUUUGAGCACACAUGGAUAUCUGUGAUACCUUUGUUACAGUUAAGGCAAUAAAUGUACUUAGCGCCUCCCUCAGUUUCCUUGUGCCUCCCCCUCCCUUUUGUAAAAAUGUUUAACAUGAGAUCUACCCUCUUCACAAAUUUUUGAAAUAUACAAUAUCGUACUGUUCACUAUAAGUACCAUGUUAUGCAACGGAUCUCAAAACUUAUUCAUCUAGAAUAACUGAAACUUUAUACCCAUUUCCCCCAUCUCCAGUUCCUGGAAACUGCUAUCAUAUUCUCUGCUUCUAUGGGUUUGAUUCUAUUAGAUACUUCAGAUAAGUGGAACCAUGAAGUAUUUGUCCUUCCUUGACUGGCUGACUUCAAUUAGCAUAACAUCCUCUAGGUUCAACUGAAUUGUCAUAAAUGGAAAAAUUUCUUUCUUCUCAAAGACUGAAUCAUAUUCCAUUGUGUGUGUGUGUGUGUGUGUGUGUGUGUGUCCCAUAUUUUCUUUAUCCAUUCUGUAGAGGGACCCUGGGUUGUUUCCACAUCUUAGUUAUUGUGAAUAAUGCUAAAAUGAAUAUUGGGAGUGCAGAUAUCUCUUUGAGAUCCUGAUUACAAUUAUUUCGUAUAUACAUCAAGAAGUGGGAUUGAUGGAUCAUAUGCCAGUUUUAUUUAAAAAAAUUUUAUGAAGAAACUCUAUAUCAUUCUCCAUAGUGGAUAUACAAUUUUAUGUUCCCAUUACCAGGGCGCAAGUAAUUUCUCCACGUACAUACAAAUGGCUAACAGGUAUAUGACAAAAUGCUCAUUGUCAUUCAUUAUUCAGGAAAUGUAAGUCUAAAGUAUCAUGAGACUUAGGAUGGCUA